CCUACGGGGGGCAGCAGUUUCGAAUCAUUCACAAUGGGCGAAAGCCUGAUGGUGCGACGCCGCGUGAGGGAUGAAGGUCUUCGGAUUGUAAACCUCUGUCACUGGGGAGAAAACGCUUUGAGUUAAUAGUUCAAAGCCUGAUUUAACCCGGAGAGGAAGCAGUGGCUAACUCUGUGCCAGCAGCCGCGGUAAUACAGAGACUGCAAGCGUUAUUCGGAUUCACUGCACGUGGAGGGGGGUCUGGCAGGUGAAAUCCCGAGGCUUAACCUCGGAACUGCGUCUGAAACUACUCGACUAGAGUACUGGAGAGGGAAACGGAAUUCACGGUGUAGCAGUGAAAUGCGUAGAUAUCGUGAGGAACACCAGAGGCGAAGGCGGUUUCCUGGACAGUUACUGACGCUCAGGCACGAAAGCAUGGGGAGCAAAAGGGAUUAGAUACCCCCUGUAGUC
rnacentral:rRNA from 1 species